CCAGAUAUAGCUCAGUGGUUGAGCAUGUUCUUAGCAUAUAUAAGGCCCUGGGUUCAAUCCCCAGCACCAGAA
rnacentral:tRNA from 1 species